UGGGGAAUCUUCCGCAAUGGACGAAAGUCUGACGGAGCAACGCCGCGUGUAUGAUGAAGGUCUUCGGAUUGUAAAGUACUGUCAUUGGGGAAGAACGGUUUUCUUGAAAAGAUUGAGAAGACAUGACGGUACCCAAGGAGGAAGCCCCGGCUAACUACGUGCCAGCAGCCGCGGUAAUACGUAGGGUGCGAGCGUUAAUCGGAAUUACUGGGCGUAAAGCGUGCGCAGGCGGUUUUGUAAGACAGAUGUGAAAUCCCCGGGCUUAACCUGGGAACUGCGUUUGUGACUGCAAGGCUGGAGUACGGCAGAGGGGGGUGGAAUUCCACGUGUAGCAGUGAAAUGCGUAGAGAUGUGGAGGAACACCGAUGGCGAAGGCAGCCCCCUGGGCCUGUACUGACGCUCAUGCACGAAAACGUGGGGAGCAAACA
rnacentral:rRNA from 1 species